rnacentral:rRNA from 1 species
AGCGAACGCUGGCGGCAGGCCUAACACAUGCAAGUCGAACGAAGUCUUCGGACUUAGUGGCGGACGGGUGAGUAACACGUGGGAACGUGCCUUUAGGUUCGGAAUAACUCAGGGAAACUUGUGCUAAUACCGAAUGUGCCCUUCGGGGGAAAGAUUUAUCGCCUUUAGAGCGGCCCGCGUCUGAUUAGCUAGUUGGAGAGGUAAAGGCUCACCAAGGCUACGAUCAGUAGCUGGUCUGAGAGGAUGACCAGCCACAUUGGGACUGAGACACGGCCCAAACUCCUGCGAGAGGCAGCAGUGGGGAAUCUUGCGCAAUGGGCGAAAGCCUGACGCAGCCAUGCCGCGUGGAUGAUGAAGGUCUUAGGAUUGUAAAAUUCUUUCACCGGGUACGAUAAUGACGGUACCCGGAGAAGAAGCCCCGGCUAACUUCGUGCCAGCCGCCGCCGUAAAAC